ACAUUUAGCUGGGUUUUGAUAGGUAAAUGAGCUCUCUUGUGUUUGUUCGAGUACUUUUACUUUAGCAUUUGUGUAAGGAUUAACAAGUGUAUCUAUUAAGUACAUGUAGCAAAUUAACCCAUCAUCGUUAACACUUCUCACAUUAAACAUAGUAAGGGUAAAGGUGUUGUCUAUACCAGUAGGUACCACACACCUACUCUCAGUAUUAUUUUGCAUUAUAUAUGUCCUAUCCUUGGUAAUAUUAAUGAUUAAAUCAAUUUCCAAUUCCUUCUGACAAUCAUGUGGUGUUCCAUGUAUUUCUAUCAACUCAGGAAUAACAUAUCUUUUACUGCUUUCUACUCUGAGUGGUUUAUCUUGUAACUUCAAUAUCCAAUGAGCUACCCUCUGGCUAUGUACUCCUAAAUCAGAACAAUUUUGUAACAGUUUUAAAGGCGUGUGGGGGGUUUGUA